rnacentral:rRNA from 1 species
GAUGAACGCUGGCGGCGUGCCUAAUACAUGCAAGUCGAGCGAACAGACGAGAAGCUUGCUCCUUUGACGUUGGCGGGGGACGGGCGGGUAACACGUGGAUAACCAACUAAUAAUACGGGGGUAAUUACGGAAAACAGCAUCUAAUACUGCCUAAUACAUCCAACGGCUGGGACCAGUAGUGAAAGAGGCUUUGCCUGUUUGUAUGAGACGAUGCCGGCUUGGCUAGUUGGGUGGGUAAGGGAACGACAAGGCAAGGAACCGUAGCCGGGCUGAGAGGGUGGUCAGCCACACUGGAACUGAGACACGGUCCAGACUCCUACGGGAGGCAGCAGUGGGGAAUCUUCCGCAAUGGGCGAAAGCCUGACCGAGCCACGCCGCGUGGGUGAAGAAGGUCUUCGGGUCGUAAAACUCUUUUAUUGGGGAAGAAAAAAUGUGUGAGUAACUAUGCACGUCUUGACGGUACCUAAUCAGAAAGCCACGGCUAACUACGUG